AUUGAACGCUGGCGGCAGGCCUAACACAUGCAAGUCGAGCGGAGCGGCGGACGGGUGAGUAAUGCCUAGGAAUCUGCCUGGCAGUGGGGGAUAACGUCCGGAAACGGGCGCUAAUACUGCCUACUAUCAGAUGAGCCUAGGUCGGAUUAGCUAGUUGGUGGUGUAAAGGCCUACCAAGGCGACGAUGCGUAAUUGGUCUGAGGGGAUGAUCAGUCACACUGGAACGGAGACACGGUCCAGACUCCUACGGGAGGCAGCAGUGGGGAAUAUUCGACAAUGGGCGAUAGCCUGUUCCAGCCAUGCCGCGUGUGUGAAGAAGGUCUUCGGAUUGUAAAGCACUUUAAGUUGGGAGGCGUUACCAACAGAAUAAGCACCGGCUAACUUCGUGCCAGCCGCCGCGGUAAUAC
rnacentral:rRNA from 1 species